rnacentral:rRNA from 1 species
CAAAUGACUCUCGGCAAUGGAUAUCUCGGCUCUUGCAUCGAUGAAGAACGUAGUGAAAUGCGAUACUUGGUGUGAAUUGCAGAAUCUCGUGAACCAUUGAGUCUUUGAACGCAAGUUGUGCCCGAGGCCUUGUGGUCGAGGGCACGCCUGCUUGGGCGUCAU